GAUGAACGCUGGCGGCGUGCCUAAUACAUGCAAGUCGAACGCAGUGGGGACGGGUGAGUAACACGUGGGUAACCUCCCAUCAGAGGGGAUAACACUUGGAAACAGGUGCUAAACCGCUACUUAUAGAUGGAUCCGCGCUGCAUUAGCUAGUUGGUAAGGUAACGGCGUACCAAGGCAACGAAGCAUCGCCGACCUGAGAGGGUGAUCGGCCACACUGGAACUGAGACACGGUCCAGACUCCUACGGGAGGCAGCAGUAGGGAAUCUUCGGCAAUGGACGAAAGUCUGACCGAGCAACGCCGCGUGAGUGAAGAAGGUUUUCGGAUCGUAAAACUCUGUUGGUAGAGAAGCGGUAUCUAAACAGAAAGCCACGGCUAACUACGUGCCAGCCGCCGCGGUAAUAC
rnacentral:rRNA from 1 species